rnacentral:piRNA from 1 species
UCCUGCUGCUCAGUGAUGUCCAAGUCUGGAU